rnacentral:tRNA from 1 species
GACUCCGUGGUCUAGUUGGUUACGACGUCUGCUUCACAGCAUCAAAAUCGCAGAAGGUCCUGGGUUCGAGUCCCAGCGGAGCCA